rnacentral:rRNA from 1 species
GACGUAGGGCGCGAGCGUUGUCCGGAUUUAUUGGGCGUAAAGAGCUCGUAGGCGGCUUGUCGCGUCGACUGUGAAAACCCGCGGCUCAACCGCGGCCUGCAGCCGAUACGGGCAGGCUAGAGUUCGGUAGGGGAGACUGGAAUUCCUGGUGUAGCGGUGAAAUGCGCAGAUAUCAGGAGGAACACCAGUGGCGAAGGCGGUGCUCUGGGCCGGAACUGACGCUGAGGAGCGAAAGCGUAGGGAGCAAACAGG